rnacentral:rRNA from 1 species
UAGGGAAUAUUGGGCAAUGGAAGCAAUUCUGACCCAGCCAUGCCGCGUGAAGGAAUACAGCCCUAUGGGUUUUAAACUUCUUUUAUUAUAGAGUAAACGGAGGUACGUGUACCUCCCUGCAAGUAUAUGAUGAAUAAGGAUCGGCUAACUCCGUGCCAGCAGCCGCGGUAAUACGGAGGAUCCAAGCGUUAUCCGGAUUUAUUGGGUUUAAAGGGUGCGCAGGCGGAUCAAUAAGUCAGGGGUGAAAUAUUUCAGCUUAACUGGAAUCGUGCCUUUGAUACUGUUGGACUAGAGUAAAAUUGACGUGACUGGAAUGUGAUGUGUAGCGGUGAAAUGCUUAGAUAUGUCACAGAACACCAAUCGCGAAGACAGGUCACGAAAUUAUUACUGACGCUCAUGCACGAAAGCGUGGGGAUCAAACA